rnacentral:rRNA from 1 species
UACGGAGGGUGCAAGCGUUAAUCGGAUUUACUGGGCGUAAAGCGUGCGCAGGCGGCCCGUUAAGACAGGUGUGAAAUCCCUGGGCUCAACCUAGGAAUUGCGCUUGUGACUGGCGGGCUCGAGUACGGUAGAGGGGGGUGGAAUUCCUGGUGUAGCAGUGAAAUGCGUAGAGAUCAGGAGGAACACCGAUGGCGAAGGCAGCCCCCUGGGCCUGUACUGACGCUCAUGCACGAAAGCGUGGGGAGCAAACAGG